GGUGUUUAAGGGACAGUGGAGAUCAUGCCACUUCAGACCUGGUGGAAGCAACCACUAAUAUAAACACCUCCCAUGUAUAGGAAGGCUGGAGUGGGAAUCCUUAACUCCGCCCCCUGCUCAGGGCACCAAUGCCUCUGCUCUGGAAAAAGACAUUGGUCCAGAGCAGUUUCCAAUCAAUGAACACUAUUUCGGAUUGGUCAAUUUUGGAAACACAUGCUACUGUAACUCCGUGCUUCAGGCAUUGUACUUCUGCCGUCCAUUCCGGGAGAAUGUGUUGGCAUACAAGGCCCAGCAAAAGAAGAAGGAAAACUUGCUGACGUGCCUGGCGGACCUUUUCCACAGCAUUGCCACGCAGAAGAAGAAGGUUGGCGUCAUCCCACCAAAGAAGUUCAUUUCAAGGCUGAGAAAAGAGAAUGAUCUCUUUGAUAACUACAUGCAGCAGGAUGCUCAUGAAUUUUUAAAUUAUUUGCUAAACACUAUUGCGGACAUCCUGCAGGAGGAGAAGAAACAGGAAAAACAAAAUGGAAAAUUAAAAA
rnacentral:sRNA from 1 species